AACGUCUCAUUUCUCUGUGUCAGUGAUAGCAAAAGAGGCUUCAGUCAGUUUUGAGGCACCAGCUUCAUUUGCUUGAUAAAAAACAUUUAACAGAUUGCAACUCCUUGUCACUUGCCUACCUUUCUUUCUUUCCUAUGCAUUGAUAUUGUAAUAUAAACUUGUCUUUGCAGUACUCUGAUCUCUGUUUAGGCAAAAUUCAAAUAUACUGUUUAUCCAGGACAAAUGGAGAGUGAACCAGUGCAUGUGAAUGAGUUUCAAGAGUUGGCUAGGCAAGCCCUUCCAAAGAUGUAUUAUGAUUACUAUGCUGGAGGAGCUGAGGACCAGCACACACUGAAGGAGAAUGUGGAAGCAUUUCGUAGGAUCACGUAAAGUGUUGUGCCUGUUAAUUCUUAAUCCUAGAAAUAGAAUUUUACUUUUUUUGCUGAUCAGUUAUCUUGGCUUUUAGGUUCCGACCUAGAAUUCUUGUAGAUGUGAGUCAAAUAGAUAUGUCAACUACCAUAUUGGGUUACAGAAUCUCUGCACCCAUUAUGCUUGCUCCAACUGCUUAUCAUCAGCUUGCAAACCCUGAAGGUUUGGAAGUCCUGAAAGAAUUCUCAAUCAACAUAUUUUUAAACUAUCAUUUAAGUUUGUCUGUGUUUAUUCUAGGUGAGUUGGCCACAGCAAGAGCUGCAGCAGCGUGUAACACAAUUAUGAUUUUAUCAUACAUGUCUUCCUGCACAGUGGAGGAGGUUGCUUCCAGCUGCAAUGCCAUUCGAUUCUUUCAAUUAUAUAUGUACAAGAGACGAGAUAUAUCAGCCCAGCUAGUGCAGAGAGCUGAAAGAAAUGGAUACAAGGCUAUUGUCCUAACGGUUGAUGCUCCCAUACUUGGCCGAAGGGAGGCAGACAUUAAGAACAAGAUGGCUGUACCACCGUUGAGGAAUUUUGAAGGUCUCAUUUCAUUUGAAGUUUCCUCGGAUGAAGGUUCAAAGCUUGGACUUUUUGCCAAAGAGACUUUUGAUCCUUCUUUUUCGUGGAAGGACAUAGGCUGGUUAAGAUCCAUUACAAACUUGCCAAUUCUUAUUAAGGGUGUACUUACUCGAGAAGAUGCAAUAAAGGCUGUGGAAGUUGGUGUUGCUGGGAUUGUUGUCUCAAAUCAUGGAGGUCGGCAGCUUGAUUAUAGUCCAGCCUCUAUCACUGUUCUGGAGGAGGUGGUUCAUGCUGUUGGAGGGAAAAUUCCUGUUCUAUUUGAUGGAGGAGUACGGAGGGGAACUGAUGUUUUCAAGGCCUUAGCCCUUGGCGCACAAGCUGUUCUUGUUGGAAGGCCAGUUGUCUUCGGGCUGGCAGCAAAGGGGGAAUAUGGAGUGAGACGGGUGAUUGAAAUGCUGAAGCAUGAGCUUGAGCUCACUAUGGCCCUUUCUGGCUGUCCUAGUUUGAAAGAUAUUACGAGGAGUCAUGUGAAAACUGAGAGUGAGAGAUUCCAAUCCAUGCUUUAAUUAUUCUUUUGAAGUAUCCUCUAAUGGUUUCAGAAAAUCAAUAAUGGUUCUCUGAACCACAAGAUAUGAGCUUAAUGUAGAGAGGCUGUUCUCAGCAGUGAACUCAACUUCCAUAUCUGUUUAAUUUCAAAUAAAUUAUGUGCUUGUACUAUACUUGGCUACGUUAUGAAAAAAACCCUAGUGAA
rnacentral:misc_RNA from 1 species